ACAUGCUGCAACACUCUCAACGGUUCUCAACAUGACGGAUACAGAGAUGGACCAGUUGGCUAACUUUCUUGGGCAUGACAUUAGAGUCCAUCGUGAGUUUUAUCGACUACCUGAGAAAACACUGCAGCUUGCCAAGGUUAGCAAGCUUCUCAUGGCCCUUGAGCAAGGAAGAUUGGCUGAGUUCCAUGGCCAAAACCUGGAUGAAAUCACAAUAGGGCCAGAUGACAGUCAUUUGUCCUGUUGAGACUGAUGAGACAGCUAAAACCAGGGGACGACACUAUUCAUCUCAAGGUAUAUAUUCAUUUAUCUCAAAAGAAGUGUUUACUGUAUGUGUUUCUCAAUGUCCUGUAAUCUUUGUCUUUGGCAGAAGAGACUCUUCCACUGACAGAAGAAGAAGGCCCCCCACUGACAGAGGAAGAAGGCCCCCCACCAACACGCAAGAGAGAUACACCAUCAGCAGCAGAAGAUGACCGUGUCGGAGCCGCAACACCUGUUGAAGAAUCAUCAGCAGAGGUGAGGAAUGCAGUCCCAUCAGUGAGCAAGAGGAGCAAGCCACUUUCUGGAGAGGAUGACCGGCUCACAGCUGUGAUGUCUGUCAAAGGUGAUUUAAAUAUAUAUUUUUUUCAUUACA